rnacentral:rRNA from 1 species
GACGAACGCUGGCGGCGUGCCUAAUACAUGCAAGUUGAGCGCUGAAGGCUGGUACUUGUACCAACUGGAUGAGCAGCGAACGGGUGAGUAACGCGUGGGGAAUCUGCCUUUGAGCGGGGGACAACAUUUGGAAACGAAUGCUAAUACCGCAUAAAAACUUUAAACACAAGUUUUAAGUUUGAAAGAUGCAAUUGCAUCACUCAAAGAUGAUCCCGCGUUGUAUUAGCUAGUUGGUGAGGUAAAGGCUCACCAAGGCGAUGAUACAUAGCCGACCUGAGAGGGUGGUCGGCCACAUUGGGACUGAGACACGGCCCAAACUCCCACGGGAGGCAGCAGUAGGGAAUCUUCGGCAAUGGACGAAAGUCUGACCGAGCAACGCCGCGUGAGGAAAGAAGGUUUUCGGAUCGUAAAACUCUGUUGGUAGAGAAGAACGUUGGUGAGAGUGGAAAGCUCAUCAAGUGACGGUAACUACCCAGAAAGGGACGGCUAACUACGUG